UCAGACCCAGCACAACAAUGGCAGAGUUGAAGUUGCGGCCGGGAUUUCAAAGAAGAUAACAUUUUUCUUCUUCCUCUUGACAAUAUCCUUCUUUCUCACUUUCUCAUCUCCGUCUUUUCGUUUUUGAAAAAGGGUCAAAUCAAUAACUCUUCCGAUACUUACAAAAUCACCCACAGAUCAUUAUGGAAAGAAAAUGGAGGACAUUGAGAAGAAUGUAAGAUUGAAGCAAUCAGAGGCAACAAUUAUACAUUGAUAGCAGAUGGAGUUAUUUAGUUCGGUUGGGGUUGUGGCGUCUCGUCGAGUUUUCAUUCCUCCUAGCUGCCCAACCCAAUCUAAGUAUACUGCUGAGUUAAGGAAUGAAAGCAGGAUUGGUGUUGCUGAUACUUUGUCUAUUUCGUUGGAACUGGUGGAAGGUGGAAGCUUAUAUUUGGUGUCUUUGUUAUAGUUCUGUUUGCAUUGUGUUAAUUUGAUAGGUGACCGUAAGCAUUAGUUGUGUAAUAUA